rnacentral:rRNA from 1 species
AUACGGAGGGUGCAAGCGUUGUCCGGAUUUAUUGGGUUUAAAGGGUGCGUAGGUGGUUUUUUAAGUCAGUGGUGAAAGCCUACAGCUUAACUGUAGAGGUGCCACUGAUACUGGGGAACUUGAGUAUGGACGAGGUAGGCGGAAUUUGUGGUGUAGCGGUGAAAUGCAUAGAUACCACAAGGAACACCGAUAGCGAAGGCAGCUUACUGGGCCAUAACUGACACUGAGGCACGAAAGCGUGGGGAGCGAACAGGAUUAGAAACCCUAGUAGUCC